UGGCAUCAUGCUAGGUUCUAAGGAUACAAAAAUGAAUGAGAUGCUAUCACCUGCUGUCAAGAAAUUCACAGCCUAGGGAGAGAGUGACAUAUGACCAGAGAGGGUCCAAUGUGGACAGAUAAUGAAGAAGGGAGUCAGCAGAGGAGAUUCUGAGAACACAAAGGAGAAGAGAGGCAGCAACCCAGCGUGGGUGGGGUGAGCUGAUCAGAGAAGGCCUCCUGGAGCAGUGCACCCAGAGCUGAUAUGGAGUUGGAAAGGUUAAAGGCUGGAUGGUGAUGAGCAGAUUUCAUCUUUCUGCCAAGAACAGAUUGACCCUGAGGAAGGAUAAAAAGGCCAGCCAUAAGGAGACAUGACAA
rnacentral:lncRNA from 10 species